rnacentral:rRNA from 1 species
AAUGAACGCUGGCGGCAGGCCUAACACAUGCAAGUCGAACAGAUCCUUCGGGAUGCGUGGCGGACGGGUGAGUAACGCGUGGGAACAUACCCUUUGGUACGGAAUAGCCUGGGGAAACUGGGAGUAAUACCGUAUGUGGUCGAGAGACGGAAGAUUUAUCGCCAAAGGAUUGGCCCGCGUUGGAUUAGGUAGUUGGUGGGGUAAUGGCCUACCAAGCGGACGAUCCAUAGCUGGUUUGAGAGGAUGAUCAGCCACACUGGGACUGAGACACGGCCCAGACUCCUACGGGAGGCAGCAGUGGGGAAUCUUAGACAAUGGGGGAAACCCUGAUCUAGCCAUGCCGCGUGAUCGAUGAAGGCCUUAGGGUUGUAAAGAUCUUUCAGGUGGGAAGAUAAUGACUGUACCACCAGAAGAAGCCCCGGCUAACUCCGUGCCAGCAGCCGCCGUAAUAC